GUCCACGCCCUAACGAUGUCGACUGGUUGUUGGGUGGGUAACCACUUAGUAACGAAGCUAACGCGUGAAGUCGACCGCCUGGGAGUACGGUCGCAAGAUUAAACUCAAAGGAAUUGACGGGACCCGCACAAGCGGUGGAUGAUGUGGUUUAAUUCGAUGCAACGCGAAAACCUUACCUACACUUGACAUGUCAGAAAUCCUGCAGAGAUGUGGGAGUGCCGCAAGGAAUCUGAACACAGGUGCUGCAUGGCUGUCGU
rnacentral:rRNA from 1 species